UACGGAGGGGGCUAGCGUUGUUCGGAAUUACUGGGCGUAAAGCGCACGUAGGCGGCGAUCUAAGUCAGAGGUGAAAGCCCGGGGCUCAACCCCGGAAUAGCCUUUGAGACUGGAUUGCUAGAAUCUUGGAGAGGCGAGUGGAAUUCCGAGUGUAGAGGUGAAAUUCGUAGAUAUUCGGAAGAACACCAGUGGCGAAGGCGGCUCGCUGGACAAGUAUUGACGCUGAGGUGCGAAAGCGUGGGGAGCAACAGG
rnacentral:rRNA from 1 species